rnacentral:rRNA from 1 species
CACGUAGGGGGCGAGCGUUGUCCGGAUUUAUUGGGCGUAAAGAGCUCGUAGGCGGUUCGGCAAGUCGGGUGUGAAAUUUCGAGGCUCAACCUCGAAACGCCACUCGAUACUGCUGUGACUGGAGUCCGGUAGAGGAGUGCGGAAUUCCUGGUGUAGCGGUGAAAUGCGUAGAUAUCGGGAGGAACACCAGUGGCGAAGGCGACUACCUGGCCUGUUCUUGACGCUGAGGCGCGAAAGCUAGGGGAGCAAACGGG